AACGAACGCUGGCGGCAUGCCUAACACAUGCAAGUCGGACGGGAUCCGGACUUCGGUUCGGCGAGAGUGGCGGACGGGUGAGUAACACGUGGGAACCUGCCUUUUGGUUCGGGAUAACCGCGGGAAACUGCGGCUAAUACCGGAUGCUCCCGAGAGGGAAAAGAUUUAUCGCCAGAAGAGGGGCCCGCGUCCGAUUAGGU
rnacentral:rRNA from 1 species